GAGUGGCGCACGGCUGAGUAGCACGUGGGAACGUACCCUUGGGUGGGGCAUAACGCCGCGAAAGCGACGCUAAUCCCGCAUACGCUCCAGUAAUGGAGGAAAGCCUUUCGGCGCCCAAGGAGCGGCCCGCGGCCCAUCAGGUCGUUGGGCGGGUAAUGGCCUCCCAAGCCGAUGACGGGUAGCUGGUCUGUGAGGACAAUCAGCCAGACUGGGACUGAGAUACGGCCCAGACUCCUACGGGAGGCAGCAGCAAGGAAUUUUCGUCAAUGGGGGCAACCCUGAACGAGCAACGCCGCGUGGUGGAUGACGGCCUUCGGGUUGUAAACACCUUUUGGGGGGGAAGAAGAUGACGGUACCCUCCGAAAAAGGCUCGGCUAACUCUGUGCCAGAGCCGCGGUAAGACAGAGGAGCCAAGCGUUGUCCGGAUUGACUGGGCGUAAAGCGCACGCAGGCGGGUGCGCGCGUGGGGUGUGAAAGCUGGCCGCUUAACGGCCAGUCGCCAUCCCAUACGGCGCGCCUGGAGCCUUGCAGAGGGCGGUGGAAUUGCCGGUGUAGUGGUGAAAUGCGUAGAGAUCGGCAGGAACACCCAGGGGGAAACCAGCCGCCUGGGCAAGCGCUGACGCUGAGGUGCGAGAGCGUGGGGAGCGAACCGGAUUAGAUACCCGGGUAGUCCACGCCGUAAACGAUGGCCACUCGGCCUUUGCAGGCGGAUUUUCCGCUUGUGGGGGCCUUAGCAAACGCAGUAAGUGGCCCGCCUGGGAUCUACGAGCGCAAGCUUAAAACUCAAGGAAUUGACGGGGGCCCGCACAAGCAGCGGAGCGUGUGGUUUAAUUCGACGCAACGCGCAGAACCUUACCCAGGUUUGACAUGGCACUGCAAGCCGCUGAAAGGCGGUCGCCUUCGAGGGAGUGCCACAGAUGCUGCAUGGCUGUCGUCAGUUCGUGUCGUGAGAUGUUGGGUUAAGUCCCGCAACGAGCGCAACCCCUACGGUCAGUUACAUGUGUCUGGCCGGACUGCCCAAUUCGGGAGGAAGGCGGGGAUGACGUCAAGUCCGCAUGGCUCUUACGCCUGGGGCGACACACACACUACAAUGCCGGUGGCAGCGCGCCGCGACCGAGCAAUCGGGAGCAAAUCGCCAAGCACCGGCACAGUGCAAAUUGGGGGCUGCAACUCGCCCCCAUGAAGGCGGAGUUGCUAGUAACCGCGUAUCAGCCAUGGCGCGGUGAAUACGUACCCGGGCCUUGUACACACCGCCCGUCACGUCAUGGGAGUUGUCAAUGCUUGAAGUCCGUGGGC
rnacentral:rRNA from 1 species